AGUGAACGCUGGCGGUAGGCCUAACACAUGCAAGUCGAACGGCAGCACAGUAAGAGCUUGCUCUUACGGGUGGCGAGUGGCGGACGGGUGAGGAAUACAUCGGAAUCUACUUUUUCGUGGGGGAUAACGUAGGGAAACUUACGCUAAUACCGCAUACGACCUACGGGUGAAAGCAGGGGAUCUUCGGACCUUGCGCGAUUGAAUGAGCCGAUGUCGGAUUAGCUAGUUGGCGGGGUAAAGGCCCACCAAGGCGACGAUCCGUAGCUGGACUGAGAGGAUGAUCAGCCACACUGGAACUGAGACGCGGUCCAGACUCCUACGGGAGGCAGCAGUGGGGAAUAUUGGACAAUGGGCGCAAGCCUGAUCCAGCCAUACCGCGUGGGUGAAGAAGGCCUUCGGGUUGUAAAGCCCUUUUUUUGGGAAAGAAAAGCAGCAGGUUAAUACCCCGCUGUUCUGACGGUACCCAAAGAAUAAGCACCGGCUAACUUCGUG
rnacentral:rRNA from 1 species